GGAGGAUCUAGCAUUUCCCGUUUUAAAAAUGAGGUUUACUUCCCAACAGUACAUUUGCCCUAUCACGACUUUCUACACGAUUCGUCAUCCCUGCUACAUUGCCGGAAAUUCGCCGUUUUGGCGACCUUUCAGAACCAUCCUGCAGCUGAGUCCGUGAAUCCGCAACUACAUCCAAGAACCUACCCAUUAAGCUACCUCUACGCCUUGCCCAGAGUGCUCUGUUACUUGAGUUUUAUCUUGUCGUUUGUAAGAAUAGAGUGCUUCCUGUCAAAUGUUGUUGAGCUAUUUAUGGUUUUAUCACAUAACUUAGUGCUCUUGUCAAUAUAUACGUGUGCACACCUAGUACUACUAGAUGCUUCUUUGAUACUUCUGCCAUGGUUUGCUCGUCCGUUGCUUAAAUGGAGGAAGGAAUUAUCAUAAGCUUUUUGAGAGGCUAGACAUAUGGGCUUGGGUGAAAAUUGCAAAAAAUAGGCACUCAUUGAUCAAAGAAAUUGAGACAUUCUUAGCGAGGUAAAUUAUUUUCUUAGUAUAUAUUCUUAUUUA